rnacentral:lncRNA from 1 species
UGUAAAGUUUGUAAAAACUUAUAAUUAAAUGUAUAGUCUGUAUUGAUUAAUUGAAAAGUUAUAUUUCUUAAUACAGGCCUAUUUUAGUCAGUUAUUAAAACUGACUUUGUCUUCUUCGUUCUCUGAUAGGCGUUCUCCUUCCACCAGCAUUCUUCUUCUUCUUCUUCUUCUUUUCCUUCUGUCUUCUUCUUCUUCUUUUCCUUCUGUCUUCUUCUUCUACUGAUUUACCCAAUAAAUCUGUUAUAGCAUUGGGCUAUAAAUUCAUUCCAUUCCAGAUCUCUACAUGGUAUCGUGAGCUUCUCAUUUUUCAAACUAAUAUUGAAAAUCAAUUAGAAUAUAAAAUAAAAUCAGUACACACUGAUGGUGGAGGAGAAUUCAUAAGUAACAAAUUUAAAAACUUACUAAAUAAAAAGAGAAUUAGUCAUAGGUUGACAUGCCCGUAUACACCUCAACAAAAUGGGGUGGUGGAAAGAAAACAUAGGCACCUAUUGGAAACAAGUAGAUGUUUCUUUAGUCAAUCUGAGGUACCUAAACACAUGUGACCAGAGGUAAUAUCCUCUGCAUGUUUUUUAAUCAAUAGGUUACCAAGUUCAGUUUUGAACUUUAUAUCCCCAUUUGAAAUGUUAACCAAAAAAAAACCUAAAUAUAAUUUUCUAAAAUUUUUUGGGUGUUCAUAUUUUCCUUUAAUUUCUAAAGGACUAAGGACUAAAUUUGAACCUACGGCAAAUAAAUGUGUUUUUAUAGGAUACUCAAAUAGACAUAAGGGUUAUUUGUGUAUGAAUUUAGAAAAUGAAAAAAUGAUUAUUUCAAGAAAUGUUAGGUUUAAUAAGAAAGAAUUUCCUUUUCUAGAAAAUGGAUUUAACAGAAAGAAUUAUGUAGGAAACCAUGUAUAAAUCUCGUCGAACUUGCAUAAGACAUGCAUAAGGAUUUAUUAUCAUGAGUAUCAUCAAAACACAUAAAAAUCCUAUGCAAAAACUUAUAUAAAAUUAUAUGCAAACCAUAUAAAAUGGUAUCUAAAGUAUGCAUAAAAAUCCAGCAACACCUAGAACAUUAAACACAUCAAAACAAGCAUCGAUAAACAUAUAAGAAAGCAUGUAUAAGCCUUGCCAAAAGGUAUAGAAGUACAUGAAUAAAGAUCUAUCAUGAUAUGUAGUACCAAAACAUAUAAAACAAUAUGCAAAAACGUAUAUAAAACUAUGUGCAAACCAUAUAAACGGUAUAUAAACGGUAUAUAAACGUAUGCAUAAAAAUCCAGCAACACAUAGGGUAUCAAACGUAUCAAACAACCAUUUAUAAGCAUAUAGAAAACUAUCAAAUCUUUCAUAACAAUGUAGAGAACUAGACUUACUCUUACACAUACUUACCACCAUUUCUAGAAAAGAAACUAUUAAAGAAGGCUACUACGAUUUCCGUACCUUUCUUUUUCCUAGCUGUCUCCGAGCUCUAGCUCCUCCUAGCUCCCCAAAACGUGUCCUCCCUCUUUUU